rnacentral:rRNA from 1 species
UACGUAGGGUGCGAGCGUUAAUCGGAAUUACUGGGCGUAAAGCGUGCGCAGGCGGUUUUGUAAGCCAGAUGUGAAAGCCCCGGGCUUAACCUGGGAAUGGCAUUUGGGACUGCAAGGCUUGAGUGCGGCAGAGGAGACUGGAAUUCCUGGUGUAGCAGUGAAAUGCGUAGAUAUCAGGAGGAACACCAACGGCGAAGGCAGCUCUCUGGUACGUGAUUGACGCUGAGACGCGAAAGCGUGGGUAGCAAACAGG